CUUUAGAUAUAUAAGGAAUGUAUAUGUUGGGGUCAAUGGAGGGUGGAUAAGAACUAGGCGUAUGGAAAGUAACUGAGUGAGACAAGGGGGAGUGCAGAAAGAUUACAUUCUGUUAAAACAUGUUAUUGUUAAAUCUCAUGGAUCCAUGGUUCUAAUACAAGGUAUCAGGUCCCAUGACCAAAUUAUUAGGUACCUAUACCGUAAUUACUUUCCGGGAAGUGAUAUUAAAAAUAAAAAAAGUCAGUUGCCGUGGGUGAGGAAAUCUAAACACUCUGGACAUCGUCGGGAGACGUGUUGGAAUAAUAACUAUUGAAAUGGCGAUCGGCGGCCCCGAUUCUCCCUUUAUAGGGGGACUAGAGGAAGAAAAGUUUAACAAAGCCAUAGAGGCGCUGAAAGAGGUUCACGAGCAUUCUACCAAUUCGGCUUGAAUAUGGGAAAAAUGUAGCUGGCCUCUGUGCGGUCGAUUGUGGUUCGGCGAGAGGACGGUUUCUAUGUGGAGGGAGACGUAAGGAGGCCACAUCUCACACAACUUCUUACCGGCGCUGAAAUAUCAUUGAUUCCUUAUGAUGAGAAAUUGGCAAAAUUUGCAACAGGAAAAAGUAUUACACUUAGCGGGGUAACGGGCAGAAUCGAAAGCCAUACAACUACUAACCGGCUGAAAUAAUAGCAACAAUGGCGCUCACUGUGGCCCUGUCCUUCAACACUUAUACCUGAGACCUGAGUCCAAGCCAGCAACCCGUGUACAGCAUCCAGUCGAAGCUAUCAACUUCAUUUUCUCUCAGGAGUGCAGCAUGAGUCCUGAGACCGUCCAUGUGGAGUGAGCAUGGAGAGAUCACAUCCAAACUUCUCUCAUGCCGCUGGUGCAUGGGUCGGAAAAUGGACAAGACAGAAUGGUGGUGGUGGCUCAGGACAAUGACCCAAAACACCUCCAGUCUGUGUAAGGGAUAUUUGACCAAGAAGGAGCGUGAUGGAGUGCUACAUCUGAUGACCUGGCCUCCACAAUCACCCGACCUCAACCAAAUUGAGAUGGUUUGGGAUGAGCUGGACCGCAGAGUGAAGGAAAAGCAGCCAACAGGUGCUCAGCAUAUGUGGGAACUCCUUCAAGACUGUUGGAAAAGCAUUCCAGUUGAAGCUGGUUGAGAGAAUGCCAAGCGUGUGCAAAGCUGUCAUCAAGGCAAAGAGUGGCUACUUUGAAGAAUAUAAAAUAAAUUGUAUUUGUUUAACACUUUUUGGGUUACAACAUGAUUCCAUAUGUGUUAUUUCAUAGUUUUGAUGUGUUCACUAUUUAUUCUACAAUGUAGAAAAUAGUACAAAUAAAGCAAAACCCUUGAAUGAGUAGCUGUGCCCAAACUUUUGAAUGGUACUGUACAUAGUUCCUCAAUUACCUUGACUAACCUGUGCCCCCGCACAUUGACUCGGUACCGGUACCCCCUGUAUAUAGCCUCGCUACUGUUAUUUUAUUAUUAAUAUUUUUUAAAUGUAUUUAGAGCUUUUUUUGUAUUAUUUAUUUGUUACUUCAGUUUAUUUUAGUAAAUACUUUCUAAACACUUA